ACCCAGAUGACAAGUCCCAAAUAGGACAAAACGUGCGUCUUGGAU
rfam:Schistosoma mattheei strain Denwood, Zambia genome assembly, scaffold: SMTD_scaffold0002222